AGGCCUGCAGGAGAGUAAGUCUAACACAGAAGAGAGCAGAGCUGUGGUACGGGGAGCAGAGAAGUCGAACACAUCACUUGAGCUUCAGGACCCAUUUGUGCCUGAAGCCAAACUCUCAGCUUCUUGGGCUAAUAAAUCUCCUCUGGGUUCUUUGUUCAGUCUGUGUGAGAUUUGAAAGCCUCAUACCCCUUAUUUUCUCCUAAGCCUGUUGCCAUCUUUUCCCACUCCCUGUUCAUGGGACUUCUAUGCCCCUUUCCCAAAGAGUCAGCCUCCCACCAUUAAAAACUCCAGGAAAUAAGAACUUACUUCCUUGGGAAUGUGUGAUGAUGACUCCAUUUCCAGAUCAAUGAGAAAAUUCAACAAUGAGUUGAAGGACCAUGAGAAACUUCUAAGGUCCCUUUAACAUCUAAUCUAUGGACUUCACUAAUUUAAUCAACUUACUUUACGGAGGAAACAUCUGCUCUGAUGGGGCAAGUGACUUGUCCAAGAUCACCCAUCUAGUGUUUUCUUUACUACAGAGAUGAAUCUGCAGAAGUCCCAGGGAUACCUUGGUCAUAAGAAGUCUCAGGUACAAGUUAUCCAAGAUGGAACAGGAGUUCAAGAGCACAUCUAUUUACUGGACAAAAUAAAGCUCCAUGGUAAGACAGUUUGCAUCUGACAGUCCACUUGUGGCCAUUCCCCCACAUCCCAUUCUCUCGAUGAGAACUGAGACCUUCAGUUCAGUGGUACCUGGGCUCAGGAACAGCCUCAAGGUAAGAGCUCU
rnacentral:lncRNA from 1 species